UACAUAUCCCCUCCGUCCCAAAAGUCUUGUCUUAGAUUUAUCCAAAUACUGAUGUAUCAAGUCACGUUUUAGUAUUAGUAACAUUCAUAUCUAGACAAAUGUAAGACAAAAUUUUUUGGACGGAGAGAGUACAUA
rfam:Triticum aestivum genome assembly, contig: Triticum_aestivum_CS42_TGACv1_scaffold_030750_1BL